AGUAACACGUGGGAAUCUGCCCAUCAGUGGGGAAUAACUUAUCGAAAGAUAAGCUAAUACCGCAUAUGCUAUAAAUAGUAAAGCCCUUCGGGGUGCUGAUGGAGGAGCCUGCGGCUGAUUAGCUAGUUGGUGGGUAAAGCCUACCAAGGCUGUGAUCAGUAGCUGGUCUGAGAGGAUGGACAGCCACACUGGGACUGCGACACGGCCCAG
rnacentral:rRNA from 1 species